rnacentral:tRNA from 1 species
UGCGGGGUGGAGCAGUGGCAGCUCGUUGGGCUCAUAACCCAAAGGUCGGCAGUUCGAAUCUGCCCCCCGCUA